rnacentral:rRNA from 1 species
GUGGGGAAUCUUGCGCAAUGGGCGAAAGCCUGACGCAGCCAUGCCGCGUGAAUGAUGAAGGUCUUAGGAUUGUAAAAUUCUUUCACCGGGGACGAUAAUGACGGUAUCCGGAGAAGAAGCCCCGGCUAACUUCGUGCCAGCAGCCGCGGUAAUACGAAGGGGGCUAGCGUUGCUCGGAAUUACUGGGCGUAAAGGGCGCGUAGGCGGACAGUUUAGUCAGAGGUGAAAGCCCAGGGCUCAACCUUGGAAUUGCCUUUGAUACUGGCUGUCUUGAGUACGGGAGAGGUGAGUGGAACUCCGAGUGUAGAGGUGAAAUUCGUAGAUAUUCGGAAGAACACCAGUGGCGAAGGCGACUCACUGGCCCGUUACUGACGCUGAGGCGCGAAAGCGUGGGGAGCAAACAGGAUUAGAAACCCGUGUAGUCC